AAUGCAAACUCUGACCUCUUCCAUCUCUACAUAUGUGUUGCAGAGUGAAGGACAGACACUAAAUCACUGACAUACACACUGUAGACUGGACAGAGACAACUGGCUUUCACAAUGAUCAGACCUGAUUAUCUGGUGGUUUUUCUCAUCCUGUCAUUUAACUCUGCAGGUACUGAGGGUCAAACACUGACUGAGUCUGAACCAGCGGUUAAAAAGCCUGGAGAGUCCCACAGACUGACCUGCACAUAUUCAGGGUUUAGUGGUAAUAUUGAUACUGCUUGGAUCAGACAGGGUGCUGGAAAAGGACUGGAGUGGAUCGCUUAUAUCAGCAGUGGCAGUAGCUACAUCUACUACUCUGAGUCAGUGAAAGGCCGGUUCACCAUCUCCAGAGACAACAACAGACAGCAGGUGUAUCUGCAGAUGAACAGUCUGAAGGCCGAGGACACAGCAGUGUAUUACUGUGCAAGAAGAGACACAGUGUUGAUGAUCAGACAGGCUCCUGGGAAAGGACUGGAGUGGAUCGCUUUGUUCGACACUGGUAUCACCCCGUACUACUCUGAGUCAUUUAAAGGCCGGUUCACCAUCUCCAGAGACAACAGCAGACAGCAGGUGUAUCUGCAGAUGAACAGUCUGAAGGCCGAGGACACAGCAGUGUAUUACUGUGCCAGAGACACACAGUGA